UACGUAGGGUGCAAGCGUUGUCCGGAAUUAUUGGGCGUAAAGAGCUCGUAGGCGGUCUGUCGCGUCGGCUGUGAAAACCCGGAGCUCAACUCCGGGCCUGCAGUCGAUACGGGCAAACUGGAGUACUGCAGGGGAGACUGGAAUUCCUGGUGUAGCGGUGAAAUGCGCAGAUAUCAGGGAGGGAAACACCGGUGGGCGAAAGGGCGGGGUCUCUGGGGCAGUAAACUGACGCUGAGGGAGCGAAAGCGUGGGGAGCGAACGG
rnacentral:rRNA from 1 species